rnacentral:rRNA from 1 species
UACGUAGGGGGCUAGCGUUGUCCGGAAUCAUUGGGCGUAAAGCGCGUGUAGGCGGUCCGGUAAGUCCGCUGUGAAAGUCGGGGGCUCAACCCUCGAAUGCCGGUGGAUACUGUCGGGCUAGAGUGCGGAAGAGGCGAGUGGAAUUCCUGGUGUAGCGGUGAAAUGCGCAGAUAUCAGGAGGAGCACCAAUUGCGAAGGCAGCUCGCUGGGACGUAACUGACGCUGAGACGCGAAAGCGUGGGGAGCAAACAGG